UAUGCAAGUGAUGAUAAAAAUAGACAGGGACAUCAGAACUUCCUUAAAGAAGUGUUGAUGAUUUGUCGUUGGGAAUCUCUCUGAUGCAUU